rnacentral:rRNA from 1 species
AUUGAACGCUGGCGGCAGGCCUAACACAUGCAAGUCGAGCGGGGUUUUCGGACCUAGCGGCGGACGGGUGAGUAAUGCGUAGGAAGCUGCCCGAUAGAGGGGGAUACCAGUUGGAAACGACUGUUAAUACCGCAUAAUGUCUACGGACCAAAGUGUGGGACCUUCGGGCCACAUGCUAUCGGAUGCGCCUACGUGGGAUUAGCUAGUUGGUGAGGUAAUGGCUCACCAAGGCGACGAUCUCUAGCUGGUUUGAGAGGAUGAUCAGCCACACUGGAACUGAGACACGGUCCAGACUCCUACGGGAGGCAGCAGUGGGGAAUAUUGGACAAUGGGCGCAAGCCUGAUCCAGCCAUGCCGCGUGUGUGAAGAAGGCCUUCGGGUUGUAAAGCACUUUCAGCGAGGAGGAAGGGGUUGUAGUUAAUAGCUGCAACCUUUGACGUUACUCGCAGAAGAAGCACCGGCUAACUCUGUGCCAGCCGCCGCGGUAA